AUUCCUGUUAAACAAUUACGGAUUGUUAAUUAUAGCUCAUUUUUAAGAAUAAAACAAGUGCUAUUGUUUGUGGUUUCUCCGUCCGUCGAGAUCCACUUCUGCGGUUUGAAACUUCUUUCAGGGGAACUGACCUUGAUAACUGAUAAGUAAUUCAUUAAUAAUACGAGUAUAACAGGUUACUUAACACUUAGGUUCUACGCCUGAAAGGCACAGUAGAUCAGUAAUACCUACAUGAAUAAAAACAGCACGUUUAAAAAAAUGAUCAUCGGAAUGGAUAUUCCAUCCAAAUGGCAACCGGGCCCCUCUUAAAUUUGUAAUCGAACAGUACCACUAAUUAAAAGUAAUAAGUCACUCUACAAAGUGGCGCAAUUCGGCCGCCAUUUUGAUUCCAAAAUUACGCAGUAAGAAUUGCUACAUCAUAUGGACGAGGCUAAUAAUUACUCUCGUAAUUACUUCAUCUUUGUCCAGUUGCAUACCUGUUUUGAUAGGAUCCAAUGAAAUAUUUCUGUAGACGACAACUGAAACUCUUCACGAAGGUCUUCAGGAAACACUUAUUCUGUCCAUUCUCAACGCACCGGUUACGUUCUUAUAAACGUGUAUCGUGUCAGACAUUGUAAAUAUAACUUCUCUCCAAGAAUAGAAGGGUGAAUAAUGUGUAAUUCUUAAUUUCGCUGUGUUUACUAGCCAGCAAAACCUUCUAUUUUGUGGACCCACAUCGGAAAUGACGACUCUAAUUAUAAUUUUUUUGUAGUAAAUGUUGAGAGGAUAUGGAAUUCCCUGUGAAUUCACUGGUAACCUACUGGUUACUAGUUUAAGAAGACACGCCUGCCAGCAAUGCGUGGCCGAAUGAUCACAUCUUCCUGAACACAACAUCCAGGCAUGUUUAUUGUUUAGUAAAAACCGGAAAAAAACGUUGAAUUCCGCCGGUGACAACUGAAAAAUGGCAAGGCAAUUGACAGGGGUUUAUAUUAUAUUAUUGUCCUUUUUUUCCUGAAAAAUAAUAAAGAUAUUAUUAUUCUGAAUUGAUUUUUGAGCCAUUCGGCGGACCCCUUAUGGUAACCGAGUCCCUCCGACACAAGUGCACGGAGGAGUAGCCACACUCAUGGAGGGAUAUUUUCCGGUUAUUACGCACCCGGCACCAUCUCGUCGAUUCGACGCACCGUUGAUUUCGGCAAAAACAGCCCAGGGCCGAUUAUCGUGGACUAUCAGCCUUUAAAAAGCUCCGGGCACCGCUUCGCAUGUUUUGUAACGGUUUAUGUUAUCCAUUAGAAGCAUUAUUACGGUAUAUUUUACUGAAAGAUCCUCGUAACUUUUGACUAAAUGACUUUAUAUAUUGUUGGAAUUUGAACAACUCAAUUUUAGCGCGCAGUGCGUUUCGAUUUUCACUUUCUUUCUGUGCAAUUACACUUUAUUUUACUCAAACAGCUGAUAGAGUAAGAACGCAUGGAAUUUUAAUUGCCAUCAUUCUUAUUUUAUUAAUCUCUGGCAAUUGGAUUCAUUAAAUUGUAGAUUCCGUAGUAAUUAGGGCGGAAUUAUCUAUAGAUCUCGGUAGGGAGGAUAUAAUUUGCUUUCUAUCUCGUUAUCGUAAGUACCAGCAUUUGUAUUUUCCGUAAUUGAAGUGUACCUUUUCUUUAGGUUCCGGCAGAUAUUUGUCAUAUUACAAUUUCCAUUGACGAUUCUUGCAUUCAUCUAUAAUUAGCCCUCUUAUUUAAGAGGUAUCCCAGUAAACAAUUUUGUGACAUUAACCUCGCAGUUACAUAAUUUUGGCAGCACAAUUUUACGUUAAGUUUGUACGUAGCUGCUAUACGGGUGAGACGAUUCUGAUUUAACCAAUAAAGUAACGUUUACAUAAAUAUUACAUUUAUAUAACUCUAACGUAAAUACAGGCGUUCGUGCGAUGUAUUAUAAUGUUACGUUUAACGUAAACGAUAUGCACAUCAACAUAUCGUAAUGUUAACUUGGCGUUACUUGUGAUGAGAAAUAUAACAUAAACUCAUAAUAACAUGUGUGUUAAACAGACGUAAAUGCGAUGCACAGAAUUUUCUGUUCUUACCAAGGUGAACUUGGAAGUCGCCAUGUCGGUGUUUAUUUACUAUUUUAAACUUACCGCCAAUAUCUUUAGUAACUUUUGUUCGGUAUCGGUGGUGGUAUGGAUGGUAAGUAUCUGAGGUUAGCGGGUGGAAAAAUGGCUGCUUUGUGAGCUUGUUCACUUUUCGCGGUAGUUUGUGUGCUGAUUGCUUCAGUUUUUUAACGUUGUGAUUUACUUUUGUGUAAAAAUCAGGAAAGUAUUUAGUUUUAUCGUUAUUAUUCAUUGUUGUAUAAUGCCCCGUUUAUUUUUAAACUUGUCUAGAACUCAAAAACGACGAAUCAUCUUUUUCUUUUCAUUAUUUAUUUCAGAUUUCAUACAUGAAGAAUAUUGGCGGUCGCUACCCAAAGGACAACAUUAACCGAUGUCUAUCCCGUGUUUUUACUAACAAUUUAGGGGUACAGUGCUCCUGGAUGGGCCACAGAGGCAAUUUCAAGGUUCAAAACCUCACGAUCAUGAACGCUAUUAUUGAAGUGGUAAUGCUGCGCUACAAUAGCUUAAUUCAACUCAGCGAUCUUGAGCGAAAUGUGGGAGAAUGGUUUCGUCUUAGCAAACAAAGACUGCAGCGAGGCAAGGAAAAGGAUAAGGAAAAUGUCAACAAUUCGUAGUAUACGUUUGUCCUGAAGCAAUAUUUAAGAAUUCAUUUUAUUUAUUUUCCUGUUGAUUGUUGUUUUUUAUAAAUUGUAUUUUUUUUAUAUUAAUAUGGUAUUACCUAGGUAUAUUAUUUAUAC